UACAGAGGUCUCAAGCGUUGUUCGGAUUCAUUGGGCGUAAAGGGUGCGUAGGCGGCGCGGUAAGUCGGGUGUGAAAUCUCGGGGCUUAACUCCGAAACUGCAUUCGAUACUGCUGUGCUUGAGGACUGGAGAGGAGACUGGAAUUUACGGUGUAGCAGUGAAAUGCGUAGAGAUCGUAAGGAAGACCAGUGGCGAAGGCGACUGUCUGGACAGAUACUGACGCUGAGGCGCGAAAGCGUGGGGAGCAAACAGG
rnacentral:rRNA from 1 species